rnacentral:rRNA from 1 species
AUUGAACGCUGGCGGCAGGCCUAACACAUGCAAGUCGAGCGGUUGAAGGGCGCUUGCUCCUGGAUUCAGCGGCGGACGGGUGAGUAAUGCCUAAGACUCUGCCUGGUAGUGGGGGAUAACGUCCGGACACGGGCGCUAAUACCGCAUACGUCCUGAGGGUGAAAGUGUGGGAUCUUCGGACUUCCCGCUAUCAGAUGAGCCUAGGUCGGAUUAGCUAGUUGGUGGGGUAAAGGCCUACCAAGGCGACGAUCCGUAACUGGUCGGAGUGGAUGAUCAGUCACAAUGGAACUGAGACACGGUCCAGACGACUACGGGAGGCAGCAGUGGGGAAUAUUGGACAAUGGGCGAAAGCCUGAUCCAGCCAUGCCGCGUGUGUGAAGAAGGUCUUCGGAUGGUAAAGCACUUUAAGUUGGGAGGAAGGGCAGUAAGUUAAUAUCUGGCUGUUUUGACGGUACCAACAGAAUAAGCGCCGGCUAACUUCGUG